AGAGUUUGAUCAUGGCUCAGGAUGAACGCUAGCGGCAGGCUUAACACAUGCAAGUCGAGGGGCAGCAUAAUGGAUAGCAAUAUCUAUGGUGGCGACCGGCGCACGGGUGCGUAACGCGUAUGCAACCUACCUUUAACAGGGGGAUAACACUGAGAAAUUGGUACUAAUACCCCAUAAUAUCAUAGAAGGCAUCUUUUAUGGUUAGAAAAUUCCGAUGGUUAGAGAUGGGGCAUGCGUUGUAUUAGCUAGUUGGUGGGGUAACGGCUCACCAAGGCGACGAUACAGUAGGGGGACUGAGAGGUUAACCCCCCACACUGGUACUGAGACACGGACCAGACUGCUACGGGAGGCA
rnacentral:rRNA from 1 species